rnacentral:rRNA from 1 species
UGGGGAAUUUUGGACAAUGGGCGAAAGCCUGAUCCAGCAAUGCCGCGUGUGUGAAGAAGGCCUUCGGGUUGUAAAGCACUUUUGUCCGGAAAGAAAUCCUUGGCUCUAAUACAGUCGGGGGAUGACGGUACCGGAAGAAUAAGCACCGGCUAACUACGUGCCAGCAGCCGCGGUAAUACGUAGGGUGCAAGCGUUAAUCGGAAUUACUGGGCGUAAAGCGUGCGCAGGCGGUUUGCUAAGACCGAUGUGAAAUCCCCGGGCUCAACCUGGGAACUGCAUUGGUGACUGGCAGGCUAGAGUAUGGCAGAGGGGGGUAGAAUUCCACGUGUAGCAGUGAAAUGCGUAGAGAUGUGGAGGAAUACCGAUGGCGAAGGCAGCCCCUGGGCCAAUACUGACGCUCAUGCACGAAAGCGUGGGGAGCAAACAGGAUUAGAUACCCUGGUAGUCCACGCCCUAAACGAUGUCAACUAGUUGUUGGGGAUUCAUUUCCUUAGUAACUAGCUAACGCGUGAAGUUGACCGCCUGGGGAGUACGGUCGCAAGAUUAAAACUUAAAUGAAUUGNCGGGGUCAUAGCUG